UCGAACGGUAACAGGCACUUCGGAUGCUGACGAGUGGCGAACGGGUGAGUAAUACAUCGGAACGUGCCUAGUAGUGGGGGAUAACUACUCGAAAGAGUAGCUAAUACCGCAUGAGAUCUACGGAUGAAAGCAGGGGACCUUCGGGCCUUGUGCUACUAGAGCGGCUGAUGGCAGAUUAGGUAGUUGGUGGGGUAAAGGCUUACCAAGCCUGCGAUCUGUAGCUGGUCUGAGAGGACGACCAGCCACACUGGGACUGAGACACGGCCCAGACUCCUACGGGAGGCAGCAGUGGGGAAUUUUGGACAAUGGGCGAAAGCCUGAUCCAGCAAUGCCGCGUGCAGGAUGAAGGCCCUCGGGUUGUAAACUGCUUUUGUACGGAACGAAAAGCCUGGGGCUAAUAUCCCCGGGUCAUGACGGUACCGUAAGAAUAAGCACCGGCUAACUACGUGCCAGCAGCCGCGGUAAUACGUAGGGUGCAAGCGUUAAUCGGAAUUACUGGGCGUAAAGCGUGCGCAGGCGGUUUUGUAAGACAGUGGUGAAAUCCCCGGGCUCAACCUGGGAACUGCCAUUGUGACUGCAAGGCUAGAGUGCGGCAGAGGGGGAUGGAAUUCCGCGUGUAGCAGUGAAAUGCGUAGAUAUGCGGAGGAACACCGAUGGCGAAGGCAAUCCCCUGGGCCUGCACUGACGCUCAUGCACGAAAGCGUGGGGAGCAAACAGGAUUAGAUACC
rnacentral:rRNA from 1 species